CGCCACCUAAGAAAUCUCAAGCCCACACCCACUAUUUAAUUUUUUGAUAUUUUUCUAUGAUAUCCAUGUCUAAGGAAUGUUGUCUCACACCAUUUAUUCUAGAGAUUUGAAUCAUAUUUGAUUUGAAUCAAUAUGGAAAGAGAUUUGGCUAAUUAUGGAAAGUGGUUUAGGUUUAUCCUUUUUUUUUUGAAAGAGUCCCUGUUCACAAGGACUCUUCUCUCCUCUCUUGCGCCAACUUUCUCCAAGCUUAUCCCUU
rnacentral:lncRNA from 1 species